rnacentral:lncRNA from 10 species
GAGAUGGAGUUUUGCUCUUGUUGCCCAGGCUGGAGUGCAAUGAGGUGAUCUCGGCUCACCGCAACCUCCACCUCCCAGGUUCAAGCAAUUCUCCUGCCUCAGCCUCCUGAGUAGCUGGGAUUACAGGAGAAUGGUGUGAACCCGGGAGGCAGAGCUUGCAGUAAGCCAAGAUCAUGCCACUGCACUCCAGCUUAGGAGACAGAGCAAGACUGUCUCAAAAACAAAAACAAAACAAAAAAAACCCAAAAAACCAAAAAAACAAAAAGAACACAAACGAAUGUUCAUAGCAACAUUAUUCAUUAUAGCCCAAAAAUAAAAACAACCUAAAUGUCCAUGAACUGAUGAAUGGAUAAAAUGUGAUAUAACCAAACAACAGAAUAUUCAGCAAUAAGAAGGAAUGCAGUACUGGUGCAUUCUACAGCAUGGAUGAAUCUUGAAAAUAGCAUGCUAAGUGAAAGAAGCCAGACACAAAAGACCACAUAUCGUAUAAUUCCGUUUAUAUAUAAUAUCUAAAAUAGACAAAUUCAUAGAGACAGAAAGUGUACUGACUGCCUAGGGCUGGGGAAAAUGAAGGUAAC